rnacentral:rRNA from 1 species
UGGGGAAUUUUGGACAAUGGGCGCAAGCCUGAUCCAGCAAUGCCGCGUGAGUGAAGAAGGCCUUCGGGUUGUAAAGCUCUUUUGUCAGGGAAGAAACGGCUGAGGCUAAUACCUUUGGCUAAUGACGGUACCUGAAGAAUAAGCACCGGCUAACUACGUGCCAGCAGCCGCGGUAAUACGUAGGGUGCAAGCGUUAAUCGGAAUUACUGGGCGUAAAGCGUGCGCAGGCGGUUUUGUAAGUCUGUCGUGAAAGCCCCGGGCUCAACCUGGGAAUUGCGAUGGAGACUGCAAGGCUUGAAUCUGGCAGAGGGGGGUAGAAUUCCACGUGUAGCAGUGAAAUGCGUAGAGAUGUGGAGGAACACCGAUGGCGAAGGCAGCCCCCUGGGUCAAGAUUGACGCUCAUGCACGAAAGCGUGGGGAGCAAACAGG